UACGGAGGGGGCUAGCGUUGUGCGGAAGUACUGGGCGGAAAGCGCACGUAGGCGGCUUUGUAAGGUAGAGGUGAAAGCCCGGGGCUCAACUCCGGAAUUGCCUUUAAGACUGCAUCGCUAGAAUUGUGGAGAGGUAAGUGGAAUUCCGAGUGUAGAGGUGAAAUUCGUAGAUAUUCGGAAGAACACCAGUGGCGAAGGCGACUUACUGGACACAUAUUGACGCUGAGGUGCGAAAGCGUGGGGAGCAAACAGG
rnacentral:rRNA from 1 species